rnacentral:tRNA from 1 species
GCUAGUGAUGCUUAACUAAAGCAUAACAC